UACAGAGGUGGCAAGCGUUGUUCGGAAUUACUGGGCGUAAAGGGCGCGUAGGCGGCCAUCUAAGUCGGACGUGAAAUCCCCAGGCUUAACUUGGGAACUGCGUCCGAUACUGGCGGGCUUGAAUCCGGGAGAGGGAUGCGGAAUUCCAGGUGUAGCGGUGAAAUGCGUAGAUAUCUGGAGGAACACCGGUGGCGAAGGCGGCAUCCUGGACCGGCAUUGACGCUGAGGCGCGAAAGCUAGGGGAGCAAACGGG
rnacentral:rRNA from 1 species